GCGCAUUCCAGCACUCUCCGCCGCCUGGGCCGCCGCCGCCACCGCCACCGCAGGCGCCCCGGCCGCGACUCAGCCACAGGAAAGCGGAGAGCGCCCGAGCCGGAGCGAAGCGGAACCCCGCAGGAGACCAGGGCCCUGAACUCAGGGGCUUCGCCACUGAUUGUCCAAACGCAAUUCUUGUACGAGUCUGCGGCCAACCGAGAAUUGUGGCUGGACAUCUGUGGCUGAGCUCCGGGCGCAACAGGGGCGGGGGCCGCAGGGACGGAGCUCAGCGCGGGCGAGACCACUCGGGGCGGCGGCUGGCUGGCCCCAGCGCGAGGAUCGCGGUCCCAGCCCGCGCGCACAGGGACGCCGGUCCCUGCCACCAGCGCCGCCAUCCGCAUCCUCGUCCUUCUUCCUUCUCCUCUGCGGGUGACCAGUACCGGCCGGCAGGGUCCUCCAGUCGAUCGCGUCGUUUUUCCUCCUUUCAAAUUUCGGCCGGAACGAAGCCUGCACGCAGCGGCGGGGCCGAACGUGGUCCGCCCUCAGCCCAAGCCGCAGGAAGUCGGGGGUGAAAGAGGCCGGCCGAAUGCGCCCGCUAACUCGUUUCGCAGUUGUUCUAACUUAUCACCCCAAUACUCCCUACCUAAACAAAACAAAUCCUCAACCAACCCCUAAAUCCCAAACAAACCAACCCCUCCAGCAAGCCCUCCGGACGGACCGAGAGGCUGAGCCUCCUCCAGCCGCUGCCAGGGUCCGACGGGCAAGCGUCGCCAACGAUGCGCUCCAGCCCGGCAAUCGCCUCGGCUUUGGAAAUAGAACUUGGAAAAACGAAUCCUUUUCAUUAAAGAAAAAUCUUCGGAGAUA